UUUGUGCAGAAUGUUAUCAGCAAGAACCAUUGGAAGGAAGAGAGUCCAGCUUGUUGCUAUUUUAACAGAAGCAUAGCAAAGGAUUUAAACCUUAGACCAAGUCACUGGCUCUAACAUGUGGACAACUGGAAUGAGAGGGGAGGUGUUAUGAAUGUACC